rnacentral:rRNA from 1 species
CCCUUAGACGUUCUGGGCCGCACGCGCGCUACAAUGGCAGACUCAGCGAGUUACCUCUGUCGAAAGGCACAGGGAAUCUUUACAGUAUCUGCCGUGAUGGGGAUAGACCCUUGUAAUUUUUGGUCUUCAACGAGGAAUUCCUAGUAAACGCAAGUCAUUAACUUGCAUUGAUUACGUCCCUGCCCUUUGUACACACCGCCCGUCGCACCUACCGAUUGAAUGGUCCGGUGAAGUCCUCGGACCCAGUUGAACCUCGAGUUGAACAGGGAAAGUUGACUAAAUCUUACCAUUUAGAGGAAGGUGAAGUCGUAACA